GAAAACCAGUUUGAGGAUCGAGAGUAGAAAAUGGAAAUUAAGAAAAAUAGGUAGGUUUAAACAAACGGAGAUGUAGAAGAUGAAAAAAAUAAUUUAAACCAAAUAAUUGGAAACUAAAAUCGUAACACUAAGAAAAGGGUUAGAAGUCGUUCAAAUAACAAGUCAUCAAUUAUGGAUAAAAAAGGCUAAAAGGGAGAAGAACGUGAAUGGAAUUGAUAAAACGAAUA